ensembl:lncRNA
ACUAGAAAUCUUAUCAAACAUGUGAAGUUUAGGGAAGAUCAGACAUUGCAUGUUUAAGCUAGUUUAAAAUAAGUCAUUUCUUGUUGCCAGCAGGUGGCGCUAUAAAUAUAAUUGAAUAUUGGCCUUUAGAUGUGUUCAGGCCAGGACUCUUAUAAAACGUGUGAAAUUUGGGGCAGAUUGGGCAUUGUAUGCAAGAGUUACAACAACUUCCUGUUUCAUAGUAUUAAUAGCAUCCUUUAGCACAUAGUAAGUGUUGCCAGCAUGUUUGAGAAUAUUUCUAGCAUGAUUAGCACACAAUGCCAUAUUUUACGGUGUUGCUAAUAGUGCAUAAAAGUAUUAAAACAUGUCACUUCCUGUUGUCAGUAGGUGGCACUAUAACUAUAACCAAAUAUGAGCAUGUAGAUAUCUUCAGGCCAGGACUCUAAUCAAACUUGUGAAGCUUGAGGCAGAUUGGACAUAGUAUGCACGAGUUACAGUAAUGUUCUACUUCACUGCCCUAAUAGCAUGAUUUAACACUGAGCUAAGUGUUUCUAGCAUGUUUAAGCAUGCUUCUAGAAUUUUGCCAGCCUAUUUAACACAUGUUGAUGCUUUUUGUUAUAUAGCAAGGAGUCCAUAACAGUGUUUAACAAAACAUUUCCUGUUGCCAAUAGGUGGCGUUAUGACUAUAACUGAAUUUGGUCAUGAGUGUUUGUUCAGGACAGAACACCUAUCACACAUGUGAAGUUUGGGGCAGAUCGGACAUUGCUUCCCUGAGUUACAGCAACUUCCUGUUUCACUGUGAAACAUCAAACUUUGUCAGGCCGCCAGGGACACACCCCUUGACGAAAACUCAAAACCUUCGCAAUUUAACAUCACAAAGGUCUUAUGAUGACCCUCACCAAAUUUGAAGACAAUCCGAUUAAAACUGUAGGAGGAGUUCGUCAAAGUACGAGGCAUGGAAAUGGCAAAAACUGCACAAAAAUCCUACAGGAAAUUCAAAAUAAAUUACUUCCUGUUGGGUUUUGGAUUUUGUACCAAGAGACUUUUUCUCUUGGUGUGUACCAAUUUUCAUGCAUGUACGUGAAACGUAGCUCGAGGCGCACUCCGUUGAAAUUUAAUAGGUGGCGCUAUCGAGCCAUUUUGCCACACCCACUUCUGAAACCUAUAUCAGAUGUAAAUUUUCGCCAGUUCUGAUGCGUGUGCAAAGUUUCGUGAGUUUUGGAGCAUGUUUAGGCCCUCAAAAAUGCGUCUCAUUGCGGAGAAGAAGAAGAAGAAGAAGAAGAAGAAGAAUAAACGGAGCAAUUCCAAGAGGGUCCUCGCACUGCAGUGCUCGGGCCCUAAUAAACGGAGCAAUUCCAAGAGGGUCCUCGCACUGCAGUGCUCGGGCCCUAAUUAAAGCUGCAAGCAGCAAUGAACGGGCCCUCGCACCCGGGCUCACCACCACCGGGUGGCUUUUGUAAAACAGCGAACGGCGAGAAAUAUGCGUUUAAUGUGGUAAAUAUAAGAGGAAUAUGUCAAAGUCAUUUAUAUGUGCCAAUCUUCCAGCUGCCAGCUGGUGGCGCUAUGACUAUAACUGGAUUUUGUCAUGUAGAUUUCUUCAGUCCAGCACUUUUAUCAAGCAUAUGAAAUUUAGUGCAGAUUGAACAUGGAAUGUUUGAGUUAGUAUAAAGUAUGUUGUGUCCUAUUGCCAACAGGUGGCGCUAUGAUUAUAACUGAACAUUGGCCUUUAGAUAUCUUCAGGCCAUGACUCUUAUCAAAUAUUUGAAGUUUGGUGCAGAUUGGACAUUGCAUGUUUAAGUUAGUGUAAAAUAAGCCAUUUUCUGUUGUCAGCAGGUGGCGCUAUGAUUAUAGUGGAAUAAUGACCUUCAGAUGUGUUCAGGCCAAGACUCUUUUCGAACGUGAAGUUUGGGGAAGAUCGGACAUCUUAUGCCUGAGUUACAACAACUUCUAUUCCCAUGGUGAGACAUCGAACUUUGUCACGGCGCCAUGGCCACACCCUUUAAUGAAACCUCGAGAUGUUCACAAUUUAACAUCGCAAAGGCCUUUAGAUUAGACUGACCAAAAAAAAUUAUAAAAUGUCAUAAAAUAUCUAGGAGUAGUUUGUUACGGGGGAAAACAUGUCACUUCCUGUUGCCAGCAGGUGGCGCUAUAGCGAUAUCUGAAUAUUGGCAUGUAGAUAUAUUCAGGUCAGGAGUCUUCUCAAACAUGUGAAGUUUGGGGCAGAUUGGACAUUGUAUGUCUGAGUUAUAUCAUUUUCCUUUCUCAUGGCGAAACAUCGAAAUUUGUAAGGCUGCCACAGACACGCCCUUAAACGAAACCUCAAGAUCUUCGCAAUUUAACAUCGCAAAGGCCUUUAGAUUACACUGACAAAGUUUGGUGUUGAUCUGAAUAAAUCUCUAGGAGGAGUUCGUUAAAGUACAACCCCUGAAAAUGGCAAAAACGACACAAAUUUUGCAGAGAAAAUUCAAAAUAACUGACUUCCUGUUGGGAAUCGAAUUACGUACCAAGAGACUUUUUUGUAGGUAUUGGUGUGUUACAUGUGUGUACCGAUUUUUGUACAUGUGCGUGAAAUGUAGCUCGAGGCGCACUCCGUUGAAAAUGUAUAGGUGGCGCUAUCGAGGCAUUUUGCCACACCCAAUGGAAUAUUGGCCUUCAGAUGUGUUCAGGCCAGGACUCUUAUCAAACAUGUGAAGUUUGGGCAAGAUUGGACAUUUUAUGCCUGAGUUACAAUAACUUUUAUUCCCAUGGCGAGACUUCGUACUUUGUGAUGGCGCCAUGGACACGCCCUUUAACGAAAACUCAAGAUCUUCACAAUUUAACAUCGCACAGGCCUUUAGAAUAGAGUGACUGAAAAAAAAAAAUUAUGUCAUAAAAUUUCUCAGGGUAGUUUGUUACAGCGUAAAAUAUGUCACUUCCUGUUGCCAGUAGGUGGUGCUAUGACUAUAACUGAAUAUGGGCAUAUCAAUCUGUUCAGGUCAAGAGUCUUAUCAAACAUGUGAAUUUUGUGGCAGAUUGGACAUUGUAUGUCUGAGUUAUAGCAAUUUCAUUUUUCAUGGCGAAUCAUCGAAAUUCGUCAGGCCGCCACGGACACACCCUUCAACGAAAACUCAAGAUCUUCGCAAUUUAACAUCGCAAAGGCCUUUAGAUUAGGCAUACCAAAUUUGGUGUUGAUUUGAAUAAAUCUUUAGGAGGAGUUCGUUAAAGUACAACCCCUGAAAAUGGCAAAAACAAUACAAAUUUUGCGGAGAAAUUUCAAAAUAACCGACUUCCUGUUGGGAUUUCAGAUAUGGUACCCAGAGACUUUUUUGUAGGUAUUGGUGUGAUACAUGUGUGGACCGAUUUUCGUACAUGUACGUGAAACGUAGCUCGAGGCGCACACCGUUGAACAUUUAUAGGUGGCGCUGUUGAGCCAUUUUGCCACUCCCACUUCUGAAACCCUUAUCAGAUGUAAAUUUUCGCCAGUUCUGAUGCGUAUGCAAAGUUUCAUGACUUUUCGAGUAUGUUUAGGCCCUCAAAAAUGCGAUUCAUUUUGGAGAAGAAGAAUAAUAAUAAUAAAUAUAGCUGCAAGCAGCGAUGGCGGGCCCGAGCCGUCAGCGAAAACGCCACCCCGGUGCCAUCAGGAAAACUGUGCCCAGUGGAGACAUACACAAUAACCCUCUAGCACAGGGGUGUCCAACCCUGUUAAUGGCGAUCGACUGUCCUGCAAAGUUUAGCUCCAACCCUAAUCAAACACACCUGAAGGAACUAAUUAAGGUCUUCAGGACUGCUUGAAAAUUAAAGGUAGGUGUGACUGAUUAUAGUUGGAGCUAAACUUUGCAGGACAGUCGGUCACCAGGAACCGGAUUGGGCACACUUAAUUUAGCAGUUUGGAUUUAAGGGAUACAGCAAUGAAAGGGUUAAUCCAAACCAUCAAGAGACAUACACAACACAAUAUAUAAAACUUGAGUAACACUUCCAAUAAGGUUUCAGUUAUUAACAUUAAUUAUAUUAAAUUACAUUAACAACAACUGUAUGGCAUUUAUUAAUGUGAGUCUCUCUCUCUGUCUUUCUCACACACUCACUUACACACAAAGAACUAUAUAUAUAUAUAUAUAUAUAUAUAUAUAUAUAUAUAUAUAUAUAUAUAUAUAUAUAUAUAUAAUUAUUGUAACACUUUUCA